GGGCAUGUGCUGUCCAGUCUUGAGCACACAGCAUUGAAGUUGUAAUAGGUGACAGAAAGAAACAAGCAUUCCAAAAAAAAAAGUAAGAAAGGAGAUGGGGAUGAGGAGGGAGGAAGAUUAUGAGAGGGAGGGAGGGUCUGAGGGAAGUCCUGCCUUAGUACUGGGCCACCAGCAGCCCUGCGGCCCUUUUGCCAUUCCCUUGCCCCCUCCUCUCCUUGUGGUCUCCCAUCCUAUAGCUGAGGAUGCCUUGGUUAAAAAGCCAGAUCUCCUUGUGUGGAGAGGGAGUGGGCCUCCUUCGGACCUACAGACUUUGCCCUCCCACACACACCAUGAAUGAUCUGGCCAAGAAGAGCGAGCACAGCAGCAGCAGCCUCGUGGAGGAAGUAAGCGAGGCCAGGUGCUCCGUUGGGGAAGUGGGGUUGGGCUGGGCUGUGGGGUUCUAAUUCUCCUGUGCAUGCCUGAACAGCGAACCGGUGGCAAACCGCGGAGGAUUUCACCACUGUCCGGGGGUCCUCUGUGUGGCCUGAGAGAGACGGUGAGGCUCCACUGGUGGACAAGGGUUUGGCGCUUGCCCUGGUCUUGCCUUCCUCCGCUGGAGACAAUGGAUCCCCCCAGCCCCACCCAGGCCACCACAGGUGUCCCGACACAAGCGCCGUUGAGCUGACCACACCCCCACCAGGUCAACCACAACCCUGAUGCGGCCCUCAAUGAAAUCAAGUUUGACACCCCUGCUGUAUCCCAAGGCCCAGAGGGAGCAACUGCUAUUCUGAACCAAGGGAGACCCAUUGAGUGUUCCAGAGGAGAAAAGUCAGCCAUUGUGAUGGUGGAUCUAAAUCAGCUGUCUUGACUGGAGAGAUGGGGAGCAGUCGUCAGAGUUGGGCCAUCCCAGAACAUUGUGGGCAACUGGAGUAGUGGCUUAGAGAGCAUCAUUAGAGGACGGCUUUGUGUGGUGCCCUGGUAUUCGGGGCUGCCAGGGACUGGGGAGCUGCAGACCGCAAGAAAGAGUACUGUUGCCAUUUGAUGCGCAAUAGCUGCUCCACUUUUGGAGACUGUUGGCAGUGGGAGCAAUGCCAAAAGAGCAGAAGCAAAACACAUCUUAUGCAGAUUUGCUACGAUCUGAGGAGCCGAAGGUGAGUUGAAGAUACUGUGCAGAGCAUCAGAGGACCAAAGGCCACUCAGAAAUGCAGAUGGAAGCCUGACUGGUUGCCACUGGAAUUCUACUCUCAUUUGGAGAAGUCAAUGAGUGAAAAAUGGCAGAAAAAUAUUUGGGUGGAUUGGUUACCAGAGGGAAAAGAUAUUAAUUGGGAGCAGAAGUAGGAGACUGGCUGAGCCACAGGGAGGAGAGCCAAGCAGGAAAUUAGUCUGGAAUCCCUAUGUGGGCAUAAGUGGGCAAAGUCUGACUCUCCUUGAAUUUUAUCUAGUCUUACCCAAACGCAACUCUGAAAAGAUUCCUGUAUAUAGGCUUUAGCAAUAAAACAGAUAAUUAAACUCUU